AGGUUGGUAAUUUUUGUACCUAAUUUUAGUAGUUAGGAGAAUGGCUAUCUUGUUCUCCAUUUCGUUUCUUUGGCCUCUAUUUUUGGCGACGAGUUAAUAAAAUACUGGGGCAGGUCGGGAUGCUGUUUGUCCGUUGUCGCGGAGGUAUCAGCCAUUCACCUGAGGAGCAUGUUUCAGAUGAUGAUGUUUGGGCUGCAGGUUUAGCAAUCUUAUCAUUUCUUGAAACCAACUUGUAAACAAGCAUGUAAAGUGUCAUUUAAUUCUCGGAGUACUGCCUGUAAGUAUGGAUGAUGUCGAUGGUGCUUGUGAAUUAAGUGGCUGAUAUUGUUGUUUCCAGAUGAUAUGAAAGUAGUAAUAAUACAUUCCCCUUAAACAGAUUUGUAUCUUUAUUUUGUUCCAGUGUCCAAACAAAUGCUCAUGACCCAAGAAAGAGAGAUCCUUUGUUUCCCAAACAAGCUAGGUAACAAUAAACACUACUUGACUCGAUAGUAUUUCUACUUUUCUAGAUGAAUUCUUGAUAGAUUCUUUCACACACUAUUAACGUUCACCAGUAUGUUAUUAGCCUGCAUGCCAACAAUAUAGGUCCCUUACAUUCUCACACAGAAAUAUGCCAUAUUGAGUGUUUUUUUAAUGAAAAGCAACAGAUGUGGAUAACACAGAAGAUACCAAUUACUGUAGGUUCCUUUUAAGUCUGAUGCAAAUAAAGCUUUAUGGACGACAGAUCCAAGUAAAAUAACUAACUUUACAAGGAAUAGACGCCAAAGUAGGAAAAUUUUCUUGUCAACUAGAUGUAAUCCCAUCACUGGAUAAAUCGGUCUAACAAAAACCAUUUCUCUACUAAAUCACCACAUAUUCAUGAUUAGGAAACUCUGUAGCCAUUAAUGUGCUGUAUUCAUCCUCUUACAUGCUACAGCUUACCAUAAGAACAUUCGCUGCCAUUGUAGAAAAAUUGUCGAACAAGUUCGACAACUAAUUUUUGUCAUUUCUGCAUGACCUCUUUCGAAAGGGGCAUUAUGCAGAAUGCCUUUGCUAUUGGGGUAGUUCAAUGCCUACAUCAUCAUCAAAUGGGAAAUCCUUCAACUGCUUGGUGAUUACAAGCAAUAACGAUAUAAUAUUCUCCAUAAAAACAUGAGAUCUAUCUCCAGCAACAAAUUCGCGAACCACGCCAUCCACUUCAAUUAAGCUACAGCCAGGUACCUUCUUCACAUUCUUGUCUUCCAUAUCUUUCCUCACCUUUGCUACAUCUUCCCAUCGCCUUUCGGAGGCAUAGAUGUUAGAAAGAAGAACGUGAACGCCACCAUGGUCAAGACUUCGUUGAAUCAGGCUCUCAACUGUUUCUUUACCCAAUUCAACAUCUCCGUGCAUUUUGCAAGCAUUCAGCAAUGCACCCAAAACAUACGAGUCAGGCUCCAAGGGCAUCUCUCUUACAAUUCUUGUCGCUUCUUCCAGCAUCCCUGCUCGCCCUAAUAGAUCCACCAAGCAUCCAUAAUGUUGGACCUGCGGCUCAAUCUCAUAAACUCUACUCAUGCUUUCAAAUAUCUUCCUUCCUUCUUCCACCAUACCCAUUCGACUGCAUGCACUUAACACACAUAUAAACGUGACUUCAUUCGGCUUAACACCUUCUUCACGCAUCUUAAGAAACAAUUGAACUGAACUUGCACUCUGACCAUGAUUUGCUAGUCCCGAAAUCAUAGAAGUAAAAGCAAACACAUCUCUCUCUGGCAUCUCAUUGAAAACCUUCCAAGCUGUGUCUAUGCAUCCACACUUUGCAUACAUGUCUAUAAGAGCAGUCCCCAGCACUCUAUCCAACUCAAUUCUAUUUCUAUCAACAUAAGCAUGAAUCCAUCUUCCUUGAUCAAGAGCCCCUAGAAAACCACACGCAGAGAGUGCACCAACAAUGCCAGCAUGAUUAGGCCGAAAACCACCAAGUUGCAUCUCAUUAAAAAGCUCCAAAGCCUCUCUAAACAUUCCAACUUGAGCAUACCCAGUAAUCAUAGCACUCCAAGAAACUGAAUUUCUCUCAGGCAUUUGAUCAAACAGAUGCUUAGCUACUUCAAUUUGCCCAUUCUUCACAUACCCAUUUACCAAAGCAGUCCAUGAAAUAACAUCAAGAUUCAAACUGGCAUCGAACAAUUUACGAGCUGAUCCCACACAAUCACAAUUGGCAUACAUAUGAAUCAAACCAUUUAGUACAAAAUCAUAAGAUUCCCAACCAAGUUUAACAAUAUGAGAAUGAAACUCUCUACCAACAAAAACAUUAGUAAGUUCAGCACAAGCUUUAAGAACAAAUGAAAAGGUAUAAUUAUUAGGAAAAAACCCAGUACUAUGAAGCAUUUCCUUAUAAAGAGAAUUAGCUUGAAUAGGUUGGUUUUUUUCCGCGAAAGCUCUAAUCAUUGUGUUCCAAAUAAAUGUAGAAGAAUUGGGUAGAUGUCGAAAGAGAUGAAAAGCAUAAUCUAGAUCACCACGUUGAGAAAUUGCGCAAAAAGUUAUGAUCUUUCCAGUAGCAUAAAGGUCUGUGAAUGAUCCAGAAAUGAUAAGAUGAGUUUGAAUUUGCUUGAUUUGUUUCAUAGUUAACCAUUGUUGUUGUUGAUCUAAGAGAGAAAGCGUUCUCUUGUUUGAUUUCAAAUAUCUGGUAAGUGGAGGGAACAUUAGCCGUUAUAGACCAAAAGGAAAUUUACCUCAAACUACCGGGAAAACUUGUCAAUAUAUGGUUCACUUCAUUGGGUAGCACAUUCAAAAUUUAUCUCAGAAGAAUUUCUAAGAUCUGGCUCAGUAACAACUAACAAAUCCAUUGGGUCAUUCAAAAGAGACUGUACUACUGGCUUAUGAAUUCCGAAUUCGCAAGUGAAAAUUUACUAGAGGUGCCUUGGCCUAAAUAUAAUUAUGAUAUAAAAGGUGGAAAUAUGAUUGUCAGCCAAUAUCAAGGAAAACUUUGUGUCUUUAACGACAACGUUGAGACAUUAAUUGUGAUUUGUGGGUGAUGAACAUCCCGACCUGCCCAAGUAAGUGUUCACCUUUCGAAAAGCUGAUUGCCUAUAUAAAAAAAUUCCAAAUAUUUCAGAUAACAAAGGAAGGUUCUAUUCUAAUGAAAUCGGCUUGGGGUGACAGUUUGAUUUUGUAUGACCCCAAACAUAGAAGUUGGUUUCUUUAUUCCCCUAUUCUGCAUUGGUAAGAAUGGCUGAUGAAAUUCCAGAUGAAGUGCCUGUGCUUAUGAGUGGAGCAGGACACGACGCAAUGGCAAUGUCUCGCAUAUCUAAGGUUGGUAAUUCUUGUACCUAAAUUUAAUUAGUAGUUAGGAGAAUGGUUAUCUUGUCCUUUUCAAUUCUUUGGCCAUUUUGACGACGAGAUAAUAAACUACUUGGGCAGGUCGGGAUGUUGUUUGUCCUUUGUCGUGGAUCAGCCAUUCACCUGAGGAGCAUGUUUCAGAUGAUGAUGUUUGGGCUGCAGGUUUCGCAAUCUUAGCCAUUCUUGAAACCAACUUGUAAAUAAGCAUGUAAAGUGUCAUUUUAUUCUCGGAGUACUGCCUGUAAGUAUGGAUGAUGGCUAUGGUGCUAGUGAAUUAAGUGGCUGAUGUUGUUUCGAGAUGAUAUGACCUUAGUAUUAAUAACAGAUUCCCC
rnacentral:lncRNA from 1 species